AAAAAAGAAAAGGAAAAGGUAAGCUUGGAAAACCGUUUGAAGGGUACAGAGGAACUAGGAAAGAGCACUUUUCAUAGGAAACUGCAUGGAAAAAGAAAGCAUCUUCAAAAGUUUUUGAAAUUUGGCAAUUUGAUGAGAUGGUAGAACUGCUUAGCAAAUAUAUCUUUCCUUUUUCAAGAUGGGAAUAGAGGAUGAAUGGGAAAUAACCCUAGGGAACUGCUGAAUAAAUAGAUUUAACAUUGGGAUCAAUGGGAUCUCUACUUGAAGUAUGCAGAGACAGAAUUUGAUCCUUGGAGUUGUUACAAAGAUGAGCCUGAGACACGAGAUGCAAUUCCAAAACUUAAUUUACAGAUUAACUUGGGUCUUGGGGAAAAUAAAAAUUGUGAGCUUUUAAGAAAAAUGAAAUCUUCAUUAGAUAAUCAUAAAGAUAAGCUGUUGCAUACUGCCUGUUUAUAGAUGGGCCUUUCAGUUGUUACCAUUUUGUUUUUUGUAAAUUUUAUGGAUAGCUUGAGAAUAGGAGAGAAGAGGGGGAGGGGGGGAGAUACUAGGAGGGUAUACUCCUAUUACACAUGAGUACCACUCCUUUUGUGUCCUCUUUAUUGAUCAGAAAAUGGGGGAAGGAAGGUACAAAAGAAAAGGCAAAGUAAAAAAUAAAGUAAAAAAGAAACUCACAGGCCAAAUCGAAUGAUAUCACCA
rnacentral:misc_RNA from 1 species